CUGCCCCUCCUCGACACCAUAUGUAGAGGCAGCGGAGGAAUCAUUGGAAACAACUUUCCAAUCCUUCGAGGUGGUAAGUUGUGCCUCUGUGUAAACAAGUCCAUUGCUACCUUGUUUCUUUAAUGCGGUCCUGAUGGUGGCGCGGG
rnacentral:pre_miRNA from 1 species